UGUGGGAUUGAAUGUGGGAUCAUCCCAAUCUGAUAAUUUAUUUUUAAUUUUAUAUCUAUAGAUUGUUAUCUUUGUACACCGGACUCUGACUCCGCCAGCCCAGGUUCGAAUCCUGGUCCCCCAGCCA
rnacentral:tRNA from 1 species